rnacentral:tmRNA from 1 species
GGGGGCGAACAGGCUUCGACGGGGAUAAUUGAGGCUUUGGUUGCAUGCCGAGGUUCUACCUGCUCGUAAAACAGGUGGUCAUAAAGUAAACGCAGACGACUAUGCGUAUGCCCUAGCCGCAUAGAGGCUAGCGUCCUUUCGGUCUUUGCCCGCGUGACCGAAACGGGCGUGGAACAGCGGGCUAGCUGAUCCGCUUAACCUGUGAGACGGUGAGGCGAAACCCUUUACAGGUUAGUCCCAUGGAAAUCUCGCCCAAUUGAUGCCCUUGGGGCGAAACUCAAAAAUCGGGCUAAACAUGUAGAAGCCAAAACUGAAUGUUUCCGGACGGGGGUUCGACUCCCCCCGCCUCCACCA